UACGUAGGGUGCAAGCGUUGUCCGGAAUUAUUGGGCGUAAAGGGCUCGUAGGCGGUCCAUCACGUCGGGAGUGAAAAGCUGGGGCUUAACCCCAGUCCUGCUUCCGAUACGGGUGGACUAGAGGUAGGCAGGGGAGAACGGAAUUCCUGGUGUAGCGGUGAAUGACGCAGAUAUCAGGAGGAACACCGAUGGCGAAGGCAGGUCUCUGGGCAUUAACUGACGCUGAGGAGCGAAAGCAUGGGGAGCGAACAGG
rnacentral:rRNA from 1 species